CGAACAUAAGGGCACACGGUGGAUGUCUUGGUGUCGAGAGGCGAUGAAAGACGCGGGAACCUGCGAUAAGCCACAGGGAGCCGGUAACCAGGCUGCGAUCUGUGGAUCUCUGAAUGGGGCAACCCACUCGAAAGAGUACCUUACUCUGAAUGCAUAGGGGUAAGGAGCGAACGUGCCGAAGUGAAACAUCUCAGUAAGCACAGGAAAAGAAAGCAACAGCGAUUCCGUGAGUAGCGGCGAGCGAAAGCGGAUCAAUCAGCGGAAGAACGAAGCGUUUGAAUGACGCACCGAAGAAGGUGAAAGUCCUGUAGUCGGAAGCUGAUCAGCCCAUAGAGUAAACUCUGGCUCGGGAAACCGGGGUUGAAGACGGGGGGUCCACCCUCCAAGGCUAAAUACUCCUCGACAACCGAUAGCGAACCAGUAAGGCGACUGAACGAUUAAAAGCACCGCGAUGAGCGGAGUGAAAGAGUACCUGAAACCGUGUGCUUACAAGCGGUCGGAGGACUUAGGUCUGACGGCGUGCUUUUUGCAUAAUGAGCCGGCGAGUUAGUCUGUGCGGCGAGCCUAAGGCCUACCAGGCCGGAGGCGGAGCGAAAGCGAGUCUGAUAAGGGCGUGCAGUCGCACGGGCUAGACGCGAAACCUUGUGAUCUACCGUUGGUCAGACUGAAGGGCGGGUAACACCGCCUGGAGGGUCGAACGCGUGAUCGUUGAAAAGAUCUGCGAUGAACUGACGGGAGGACUCAAAGUGUAAUCAAACUGGGAGAUAGCUCGUUCUCUCCGAAAUAACUCUAGGGUUAGCCUCCGGAAGCAAAUGUUGGGGGUAGAGCUACUGGAUGAGGCAGGGGGUCUACCCGACUACCCUCCUCAACCAAACUCCGAAUACCAACAUCCAAGUCCGGGGAGAUAGACGGUGAGUGACAAUAUCCAUCGUCAAAAGGAGAACAAUCCUGAUCGCCAGCUAAGGUCCCAAAUCUCUGCUAAGUUCGAAAGGAAGUUGGAUUGCUGUGACAUCCAGGAUGUUGGCUUAGAAGCAGCCAUCAUUUAAAGAGUGCGUAACAGCUCACUGGACGAGGAAUCCAGCGCCGAUAAUGAUCGGGAAUAAGCAGGGAGCCGAAGCUGCGGGAAUCGAAAGAUUCGGUAGGAGAGCGUUCCUGGCGGCGGCGAAGCUGAUCGGAAACGGUCGGUGGAGCGCCAGGAAGUGAAUAUGCCGGCUUGAGUAACGAUUAACCAGGUGAGAAUCCUGGUCGCCAUAUAUCCAAGGUUUCCUGGGGAAGGUCAUUCCGCCCAGGGUUAGCCGGGUCCUAAGGCAAGGCCGAAAGGCGUAGUCGAUGGAUAUCAGGUCAAUAUUCCUGAGCCGGUAUGGGGAACGGAUUUCAAAGCUCUGCGGGACUGUCAGAUGUCCAGGCCCUUGUGGCCGAUGCAGGGGGGAGAAGUUCCUAGAAAAGCCCAUACUUAGCCCGUACCAAAACUGACACAGGUGGAUGAGGCGAAUAGCCUAAGGCGCGCGAGAGAACGGUCGUGAAGGAACUAGGCAAGUUAACCCCGUAAGUUAGCGAUAAGGGGGGCCUACCCGUAAGGGAGGCCGCAGAGAAAAGGGUCUGGGAACUGUUUAUCAAAAACUCAGCUCUGUGCCAACACGCAAGUGGAAGUAUACAGAGUGACGCUUGCCCGAUGCCGGAAUGUCAAGAGAGUGGGUCAGGGAAACCGAAGCUCGCGAUCGAAGCACCGGUGAAUGGCGGCCGUAACUAUGACGGUCCUAAGGUAGCGAAGUUCCUUGUCGGGUAAGUUCCGACGCGCAUGAAUAGCGUAAUCACUGGACUCCUGUCUCCACGACCGACUCGGUGAAAUAGUAGUGGCGGUGAAGAUGCCGCCUACCCGCAGCAAGACGGAAAGACCCCGUGGACCUUCACUAUAGACUUGUAUUGGCCACGAGCAUUCACUGCGUAGCAUAGGUGGGAGGCUUUGACGUCCGGGUUCCGGCCCGGAAAGAGCCACAGGUGAAAUACCACCCUGUGUACGUUUGUGGCCUAACUCUGAUUCCCGUGAAUCCGGGCAGAGGACAGUGCAUGUCGGGUAGUUUGACUGGGGCGGUCUCCUCCAAAAAGGUAACGGAGGAGCGCAAAGUUCGGCUCAGCACGGAUGGAAACCGUGUGUCGAGUGUAAGAGCACAAGCCGGAUUUACUGCGAGACCGACAGGUCGAGCAGUCUCGAAAGAGGGCUCUAGUGAUCCUGCGAUCCCGUGUGGAAGGGUCGUAGCUCAUCGGAUAAAAGGUACCCCGGGGAUAACAGGCUGAUCGCGCCCGAGCGUCCAUAGCGGCGGCGCGGUUUGGCACCUCGAUGUCGGCCCAUCACAUCCUGGGACUGAAGGCGGCCCCAAGGGUUCGGCUGUUCGCCGAUUAAAGUGGUACGCGAGCUGGGUUCAGACCGGCGUGAGCCAGGUCGGUCCCUAUCUGUUGUGGGCGUUGCAAGCUUGAGAGGAGUCAACCUUAGUACGAGAGGAUUGGGUUGGACGGACCCCUGGUGAUCCAAUUGCACUGCUAAGUGCACAGUUGGGUAGCUACGUCCGGCAGGGAUAACCGCUGAAAGCAUCUAAGCGGGAAGCCCCCCUCGAGAUGAGGCUUGCUAGUCGCAAGACGAAAGACCCCUGGUAGACCACCAGGUUGAUAGGCCGCGGGUGUACGAACAGUAAUGUUCUCAGCCGAGCGGUACUAACGGUCGAAGU
rnacentral:rRNA from 1 species